CCAUAUGUGGUGGAAAAGGUUAACUCUCUUGACUGCUAACCAAAAAGUUGGAGGUUCGAGUCCUCCCAGAGGCU
rnacentral:tRNA from 1 species